CAAAAAGCAGUGGUCUGUUUCCUUUACGAGCAGCCUUCUCGUAACUAUCAAGGAUAUAAAACUCAUUGUUUUUGGGUGAACCUAUGGUCUUCUUUGUGAUUCUUUGUGAUUGUCGUUUCAGUAAAUGAUGGAACAAUU